rnacentral:rRNA from 1 species
GCGAUGCCGCGUGAGUGAAGAAGGCCUUUGGGUUGUAAAGCUCUUUCGUCGGGGAAGAAAAUGACUGUACCCGAAUAAGAAGGUCCGGCUAACUUCGUGCCAGCAGCCGCGGUAAUACGAAGGGACCUAGCGUAGUUCGGAAUUACUGGGCUUAAAGAGUUCGUAGGUGGUUAAAAUAGUUGGUUGUGAAUCCCGGAGCUUAACUCCGGAACUGCAAUCAAAACUUUUUAGCUAGAGUAUGAUAGAGGAAAGCAGAAUUUCUAGUGUAGAGGUGAAAUUCGUAGAUAUUAGAAAGAAUACCAAUUGCGAAGGCAGCUUUCUGGAUCAUUACUGACGCUGAGGAACGAAAGCAUGGGUAGCGAAGAGGAUUAGAUACCCUCGUAGUCCAUGCCGUAAACGAUGUGUGUUAGACGUUGGAAAUUUAUUUUUCAGUGUCGCAGCGAAAGCAGUAAACACACCGCCUGGGGAGUACGACCGCAAGGUUAAAACUCAAAUGAAUUGACGGGGACCCGCACAAGUAGUGGAGCAUGUGGUUUAAUUCGAAGAUACGCGCAGAACCUUACCAACGCUUGACAUGUUCGUCGCGACUUUAAGAGAUUAGAGUUUUCGGUUCGGCCGGACGAAACACAGGUGCUGCAUGGCUGUCGUCAGCUCGUGUCGUGAGAUGUUGGGUUAAGUCCCGCAACGAGCGCAACCCUCACUUUUAGUUGCCAUCAUUUAGUUGGGCACUCUGAAAGAACUGCCAGUGAUAAGCUGGAGGAAGGUGGGGAUGACGUCAAGUCCUCAUGGCCCUUAUGUGUUGGGCUACACACGUGCU